CUGCUGUAGACUUUUAGCUUCUUCAUUUUUUUUUUUCCUUUAAAUAGAACCAAUUAACUCUUACUUGAAUUUUCCAAAUACAUGAGGUUUCACUACCAUUUUGGAGGAAUGGAGCCAGCGUUUUGAUUGUCACACAUAGACUUUCACUAAUGUAUUUUUCCUCAAAGGCAACUAGAUAUUCAUGUUACUAUUGCUUUUCCUUAGAAACAGAAGUCUCCCGAUCAUAAUUACAGGCUUUGAGCAAAGGCAACAGUAGUGAAGAAACCCGGAGCUCUGUAAACAUUACUGAAGAACCAUGCCAAAUAUAUGCAUAAAUUCAGGUGGCUUAUUAUUACAUCUUGAAAGGACUGGAUAUCUGAGCACUGUCUGACAUUACUUUUGACUUCACUGGAGGUAACCUAGAAGGAGAGAGAUGUCUCAGCAGUUUCUUUAUCAAUCGCCACCUUUGGAUUUAGCCUUCUGUGGUCAUUUUGAAUAGCAAGCAUCUGAGACAGCAAAGGUGGGCGCAACUGCCAAAACCACAACCCACGGUCAAAAGGAUCGUCAUCCAUUUGGGGGUGCUCUACGUGUAUGAAGUUAUUUAAUACUUAUAACAACUUUAUGAGACUCUUCAGAGGUUCCUGCUGGGCCUCCCACUGCUCCAGUGCUUUUGAUGAAGCUAGACUAUUCCCUGCAGCAGUUCCUUUUCCCAUGUUUUGGCCUCUGAGGAUCAACAGUACAGCUCUAUCUUCUUUUUGAUGAGAUCUUUAGUCUCUCUUGCUUCAGGUGCCUGGAUGUUGAGGGGCAAAUAGGACUGUUCACUGAAGGAGCUAGAGAAUGGAAGAGAAGGUUGUGUCAGAUAGAAAUAACAGAAGCUUUCUGAAAUGAAAACAGAAAUGUUACAACUUGCACCACAGUACUGGACUGAAACGAAGAUGUAACACAGCCAUAAUAAUUUAAAUUAAUAGCAAAUAAAUAAAGAAAAAAAGAACUUCAUUGUGAGGACCAUAGUCAUGGGAUAGCUCUGUCUUUUCGGGGAAAGUGGAGUAGAGGGACAGAGUCACCCCAGGAGAAAAAAUGCUUAAAUUAAGACUCCCUGAGAGACUGAAUAAGAGUAUGAUUAGUUCAGCCUUGCUUUCAUCCUCCACUUCCCCCUCCCACUGUAGACUUCAGUUUUAAUAAUGAUUAAAGAAUAAUGCCUGAAUCCCAUCUGAAUGGCUUUUGAGAUUUAACUCACUGAAUCUAUUCAUAGCUUUGAGCUUGUAAGGGGGACUGAACAGAUCUGCACAACUAAUCGUGGAAUAUUACACUGAUACUUCAUCUCCCACAUCAAUACCAAUUACGCCUGCACAGAGAGCAUCACAUAUUAUUUUAAUAGGAUAGGAAUUUUUAAUCCAGUCAGGUAGUUCUGGAUGAAUGUGUUUGUAUGUCUGUCAUUAAAAUUUGGUGGCUCAUGCUGCUCAAGACAGACACAUUUUGAAUGUUUAAAAUUUCCACAGAUGUUAUUUAUCCAUCAGGAUGGAAAAUUUCCUGCUCUCCAGUGUAUAGAUUCUGCCUCAUUAACAUAAAUAAAGAAUAAGGCAUAACAACAACAAUCUUGCUUAAUGUGUACACACAGAAAUAUUGUCAUAGGCAUCUGGCAAUCAGUUGGAGACGGUGAAAACUGCUAAAUGAAUGAAAGUGGCAGAACUAGCAGAAGUAUGAGAUCCCAUACUGGAGAAAAAGGCUCACUGUUAAAAUAUUUUGUUUCUUUGUUCUACUCCUUUUUUAUUUUCAAGGCAUUUUAUUCAGCUUGGACCUUCAGAUAAAAG
rnacentral:lncRNA from 1 species